UACGGAGGGGGCUAGCGUUGUUCGGAAUUACUGGGCGUAAAGCGCACGUAGGCGGCUUUGUAAGUUAGAGGUGAAAGCCCAGGGCUUAACUCUGGAAUUGCCUUUAAGACUGCAUCGCUAGAAUCGUGGAGAGGUGAGUGGAAUUCCGAGUGUAGAGGUGAAAUGCGUAGAUAUCUGGAGGAACACCGGUGGCGAAGGCGGCGUUCUGGACUGCAACUGACACUGAGGAACGAAAGCCAGGGGAGCAAACGGG
rnacentral:rRNA from 1 species